rnacentral:rRNA from 1 species
AUUGAACGCUGGCGGCAGGCUUAACACAUGCAAGUCGAGCGAGCGGCGGACGGGUGAGUAAUGUCUGGGAAACUGCCUGAUGGAGGGGGAUAACUACUGGAAACGGUAGCUAAUACCGCAUACCAUCAGAUGUGCCCAGAUGGGAUUAGCUAGUAGGUGGGGUAAUGGCUCACCUAGGCGACGAUCCCUAGCUGGUCUGAGAGGAUGACCGGCACAAUUGUAACGGGGAAACGGUCCAGACUCCUACGUGAGGCAGCAGUGGGGAAUAUUGCACAAUGGGGGCAAGCCUGAUGCAGCCAUGCCGCGUGUAUGAAGAAGGCCUUAGGGUGGUAAAGUACUUUCAGCGGGGAGGCGUUACCCGCAGAAGAAGCACCGGCUAACUCCGUGCCAGCCGCCGCGGUAAUAC